rnacentral:rRNA from 1 species
UACGUAGGGGGCAAGCGUUGUCCGGAUUUAUUGGGCGUAAAGAGCGUGUAGGCGGCUAGGUAAGUCCGUUGUGAAAACUCGAGGCUCAACCUCGAGACGUCGAUGGAAACCAUCUAGCUAGAGUCCGGAAGAGGAGAGUGGAAUUCCUGGUGUAGCGGUGAAAUGCGCAGAUAUCAGGAAGAACACCCGUGGCGAAGGCGGCUCUCUGGUACGUGACUGACGCUGAGACGCGAAAGCGUGGGGAGCGAACAGG